GCGCAUGGCGGAAAGGCCGUGUGUGCUUGCCGGCGGAUGGCAAUGUCAGGAUGCGCGAGGAUAAAUCCUAUGCAUACGACUUAGAUGUACAACGGGGUAUUGUAAGCAGUAGAGUAGCCUUGUUGUUACGAUCUGCUGAGAUUAAGCCUCUGUUGUCCGAUUUGU
rfam:Pichia kudriavzevii strain SD108 contig04581, whole genome shotgun sequence.